UGUUUUUCUUUUUUCAAUUUCAAUUAAUUGUUGACAGUUUUUCUUCAGUUUUUUUUUCUUUACUUUAAUUUAUUUCCCUGUUGAUUAAUUAUCGCUGAUGAUGACUAAUUGGAUAAUCGUUUUGAUGGUCAUUUGAUAAUCGAUUUUCUUUUUUCUUCUCUCUCACCUUUGCUUCUCGACGAUUCCAGCUAAUUCUGUUGAUCUUUGUAACCAUUUUCCUUGAGAAAUUAAAUCUCUCCACCGCUGUGCUAACAAGGACUACAAACCAUUUUCCUCUCUGGAUAAUCAAUCAAUCUUGCUACUCCUUUUUUCAAUAUAUCUAAGGUCUGAUCAAUACCUGAAACAUUACAUCAAUUAACCACAAUGAACACACUUUCUACCAACAAUUCUCAACAAUCUGACCAGUUUUCAAAUUCUCACGUUUCUAUUUCUUCAACUUCACGUACUGACAUUUUCCUCUUCCUCCUCUCUCUCUCUGAGGUUAUUUGCAUAAGCGGAAAGAUCGUGUUGGAAUAAGAUGGUAACGAAUAUGAUGAACAAAAAAAAGUAACAAAUCAAACAAAAUUACGAUGUAAUAAUCGUUGUCCUGUUUAAAAAUGGAAACAAAUCAACGCCCUUGGAAAUUUAUCCUUCUACCAGUGAAAACGAACCAAAGAAAAUCUUUACUCAAGUAACUAGUCUCAUUUGGUGGGUGAUUAAGAUGUCCAAUGUAUUAAUCACUAAGUGGAUUAGAAAUGGAAACUUAAGUCUCUCCCUCUCUCAUUAUCAAGAAAAUGAUCAAUCAAUAUCACCAAUGAUAAUAAAUUGGUCAACAUUAGGUCUUCCAUCACUAAGUUGAUUCAAUUUUUGGAUUAAAAUGCAAUUGAUUGGCUGAAAAAAGUUCCACCAUGAGAAUAUGCAUCCGAAGGAUAAAUGGAGCAAAACAACAAGACAAUAAGGAAAAAUCUCUGAUGUUCUUUCAAGAUGCUUCUUCUCAUGUAGUACCUUAAAUUGCCAAUUCCUCCAUCAUCAGCAUCGUUUAAAUUUGCUUCUCAUCAUCAUUUACAUCCAAAGAGAAAUUCUUUAAUAUAAUCAAUUGAUCGAUACAUUGAUUGAACAUUUUUAAAUGACCAUUGACUCGAGGCCCAUAGGAAGAUCACACAAUGAGAGGAAAAGAUAGAGAAAAUCGUUAAUGAUGUUGGAUUUUUACUAUUUAAUUAUCGUUAAUCUGAUGAAUGGAACAUUUGUGAAAUUUUCGAGAGAAAAACAUUAAACAAGAUUAAAAAGUUAGGUAGAAAAAUCGAUUGAUUUUCUAUUCCCCAAUCAGAAUUUUUUCCCCUUUUUUCCCUAUUUACCUGAGAAGAUGAAAGGAGAAGGCGGAAAAUGGAAACAUGAAGAUGCAGAUCAAGUCAAAAAUAGAAUCAAGAAAUGAUGAGGAAAAUGCGAAUAAGAAGAAAAUAGGAAAAUACACAUGGAUUAAUAUCACUCAAAUUCGAAGGUAGAUGAUAAUUGGCAAAAAAGAAUCACUAUUGAAUUAUGCAAGAGAUGAUGAGGAUGAUCAAAUCAUAUCGAAUUAAAUUAGUUCUGCUUUAUUUCAAUAUCAUAAUAAUAGAUUAUUUUCUAUCGUAGAAAAGUUUCAGAAAGAGAGAAACCUGAGUCUCUUUACAUGAUUUCUUUUGUAUAUUUGUUACACUCUUUGAUCAUCGAGAUUUCAUAUUUCACUCAUCUUCAUUUUCUCACUCACUCAUUCACUCUCUCAUUAUAAUGCUGAUUAAAUGCUAAAAAUACUACAUAAUAAAGGAGAGAAAGAGUUGAAGAAAAAAAUCUUCGAAGAUGAAGGUUGAAGACUUAUCACUUUCAUCUUUUUUUUUUUCUCUUUUUUC